rnacentral:rRNA from 1 species
AGUGAACGCUGGCGGUAGGCCUAACACAUGCAAGUCGAACGGCAGCACAGUAAGAGCUUGCUCUUACGGGUGGCGAGUGGCGGACGGGUGAGGAAUACAUCGGAAUCUACUUUUUCGUGGGGGAUAACGUAGGGAAACUUACGCUAAUACCGCAUACGACCUACGGGUGAAAGCAGGGGAUCUUCGGACCUUGCGCGAUUGAAUGAGCCGAUGUCGGAUUAGCUAGUUGGCGGGGUAAAGGCCCACCAAGGCGACGAUCCGUAGCUGGUCUGAGAGGAUGAUCAGCCACAAUGGAACUGAGACACGGUCCAGACUCCUACGGGAGGCAGCAGUGGGAAAUAUUGGACAAUGGGCGCAAGCCUGAUCCAGCCAUACCGCGUGGGUGAAGAAGGCCUUCGGGUUGUAAAGCCCUUUUGUUGGGAAAGAAAAGCAGCAGGUUAAUAACCCGCUGUUCUGACGGUACCCAAAGAAUAAGCACCGGCUAACUUCGUG